rnacentral:lncRNA from 1 species
CUGGUCGGUUAUGAGUCACAAGUGAGUUAUAAAAGGGUCGCACGUUCGCAGGCGCGGGCUUCCUGUGCGCGGCCGAGCCCGGGCCCAGCGCCGCCUGCAGCCUCGGGAAGGGAGCGGAUAGCGGAGCCCCGAGCCGCCCGCAGAGCAAGCGCGGGGAACCAAGGAGACGCUCCUGGCACUGCAGAUAACUUGUCUGCAUUUCAAGAACAACCUACCAGAGACCUUACCUGUCACCUUGGCUCUCCCACCCAAUGGAGAUGGCUCUAAUGGUGGCACAAACCAGGAAGGGGAAAUCUGUGGUUUAAAUUCUUUAUGCCUCAUCCUCUGAGUGCUGAAGGCUUGCUGUAGGCUGUAUGCUGUUAAUGCUAAUCGUGAUAGGGGUUUUUGCCUCCAACUGACUCCUACAUAUUAGCAUUAACAGUGUAUGAUGCCUGUUACUAGCAUUCACAUGGAACAAAUUGCUGCCGUGGGAGGAUGACAAAGAAGCAUGAGUCACCCUGCUGGAUAAACUUAGACUUCAGGCUUUAUCAUUUUUCAAUCUGUUAAUCAUAAUCUGGUCACUGGGAUGUUCAACCUUAAACUAAGUUUUGAAAGUAAGGUUAUUUAAAAGAUUUAUCAGUAGUAUCCUAAAUGCAAACAUUUUCAUUUAAAUGUCAAGCCCAUGUUUGUUUUUAUCAUUAACAGAAAAUAUAUUCAUGUCAUUCUUAAUUGCAGGUUUUGGCUUGUUCAUUAUAAUGUUCAUAAACACCUUUGAUUCAACUGUUAGAAAUGUGGGCUAAACACAAAUUUCUAUAAUAUUUUUGUAGUUAAAAAUUAGAAGGACUACUAACCUCCAGUUAUAUCAUGGAUUGUCUGGCAACGUUUUUUAAAAGAUUUAGAAACUGGUACUUUCCCCCAGGUAACGAUUUUCUGUUCAGGCAACUUCAGUUUAAAAUUAAUACUUUUAUUUGACUCUUAAAGGGAAACUGAAAGGCUAUGAAGCUGAAUUUUUUUAAUGAAAUAUUUUUAACAGUUAGCAGGGUAAAUAACAUCUGACAGCUAAUGAGAUAUUUUUUCCAUACAAGAUAAAAAGAUUUAAUCAAAAAAUUUCAUAUUUGAAAUGAAGUCCCAAAUCUAGGUUCAAGUUCAAUAGCUUAGCCACAUAAUACGGUUGUGCGAGCAGAGAAUCUACCUUUCCACUUCUAAGCCUGUUUCUUCCUCCAUAUGGGGAUAAUACUUUACAAGGUUGUUGUGAGGCUUAGAUGAGAUAGAGAAUUAUUCCAUAAGAUAAUCAAGUGCUACAUUAAUGUUAUAGUUAGAUUAAUCCAAGAACUAGUCACCCUACUUUAUUAGAGAAGAGAAAAGCUAAUGAUUUGAUUUGCAGAAUAUUUAAGGUUUGGAUUUCUAUGCAGUUUUUCUAAAUAACCAUCACUUACAAAUAUGUAACCAAACGUAAUUGUUAGUAUAUUUAAUGUAAACUUGUUUUAACAACUCUUCUCAACAUUUUGUCCAGGUUAUUCACUGUAACCAAAUAAAUCUCAUGAGUCUUUAGUUGAUUUAAAAUAAUUUUUAUGGCCCAUUUUCUUUUGCAAAGUACAAAUUAUAAUUCCAGAAGCUAUCUGCCAAAAAAAGACAAUGGAAGAAAAUUAUGAGGACACUAAAGGGAACAUUCCUGACUCCUAGGACACAGUAUUCUCAUGUAAGAAUACCCAUUUGGCUUUGCCCCACUUUCUGUUCAAGUUGUAUGUGCUGCCAAGACAAAUUUCUUCUCCUCACUUUCUGUUCAAGUUGUAUGUGCUGCCAACACAAAUUUCUUCUCCUAACACCUGGAAUGAGCUUGUGGCUCCACGGAGCUCCCAUGUAGGUAGAACACAUUCAAGAGUGUUUCUUCAGGCCAGGCACAGUGGCUCACGCCUAUAAUUCCAACACUUUGGGAGGCCAAGGCGGGUGGUUCACUUGAGGUCAGGAGUUCUACACUACCCUGGCCAACAUAGUGAAACCUCGUCUCUACUAAAAAUACAAAAAUUAGCUAGGCAUGGUGGUGCGUGCCUGUAAUCCCAGAUACUCAGGAGGCUGGGGCAGAAGAAUCACUUGAACCCAGGAGGUGGAGUUCACAGUGAACGAAGAUCGUGCCACUGCCCUCCAGCCUGGGUGACAGAGUGAGACUCCAUCUCAAAAAAAAAAAAAAGUGUCUGUUCAAUUCAUUUUAUCUGCCACUGUAUAUCUACAAGAGGACUCCUUGCUUUGAGUCCCAGUUCUUCAAAAUCCUGCUUGCUGCCUAAAGACACAAAGUCAUAGAACAUUAGGACUGGAAUAAACUAUUGUAGUAUAACCUUCCUGCUGUUACAAUAAAAAGCUAUAAACAUUACAAAGGCACUUAAAGAAAAGCUGUGCUGGGAAAUGCCUUAUUUGAAGAGCAUUUGGGUACACUCACAUGAAGCUUUGGAAAGUUACUUAAUCUUCCUCUAAGCCUCAAUUUCUUCAUCAAUAAAAUGAUGAAUAUAUUUCAUAUUUCAUAAGAUGUAGGCUUAAAUGAAAUCAUGCAUGUGAAAAGCACAAUGUCUAUUAUGCAUUAAGUGUUAAACACAAACUUUCAAACUUUUACAUUUCAGUCAUUUAAAUCAAAUGAUCUACCAUAGCAGAUCUCCCCAAAGACACUCUAGCUCCAAACUAACUAUAAUCAAUCCCGUGGUGACGACCCAAAGAACCAGGGUUCCUGGGUUUUCUCUCACGCCCAGCCCACCUAGGCUUCUGACUGCCUAUCUCCUCAUCUUAGAGGGAUUCCUCCUGACCAGUCAUUACAAAAAUUCUUGGAGCAUGAGCAAGACUGAGUCUGUGUUUGGAUUGGAGGAAGGGGUAAGUAACAAGGUAUAUAUAUGUAUAUGUGUGUGUGUGUGUGUGUGUGUGUGUGUGUGUGUGUGCGCGCGCGUUUGUGUUUAAGUUACAAACUAAGGAUGGUUUUAAAAAAUUGCAAAAUGUUAAGAGAUUUAUCUAGGAUCUGACCCACUUCCCCAGAAAUUUACGGAAUUCAAGACCAAGCCUUUCGUAUUCACUGUCAUCAGUUAGAUGGACCCAGUAGCUAAAAAAUUAAGGAGAAAAAAAAUAGAGGAAUAUGAGGGAAAAAGUCAAGUCAGAGGACUGAAGAAUAUAUACAGAACAUAGAAUAUUAGAAAUUUUCUGAAAAUAGAUGAUAGCAAAUACCUCAAGAAAGUGAGGAAACGUGAAAAGGGAGCUUAAAGAAAAAUAAUAGAGUCCAUACAUGGGACACAAGCACAAAAAGCUGACUGAGCAUGUGGUUCUCUACUAAUAAUAACUGGAAAACAGUGAAACCAGCAGGAAAAACUUGCACAUAAGAGUUUAACUUUCCACUUUGGGUUUCAAAUUCUCCCAUAGCAAUAAGAGUAAGUGAAAUAAUGUUCACAUAAGGAUUUUUUUUUUUUCUAUUACUGUAGUGUUUUGUUUUGUUUUGUUUUGGUUUUGGUUUUUGGUGGUUUUUUUUUUUUUGAGACAAAGUCUCGCUCUUGUCCCCCAGUCUGGAGUGCAAUGUCAUGAUCUUGGCUCACUGCAACCUCCGCCUCCCGGGUUCAAGUGAUUCUCCUGCCUCAGCCUCCCAAGUGGCUGGGAUUACAGGUGCGUACCACCACGCCCAGCUAAUUUUUUGUAUUUUAAGCAGAGACGGGGUUUCACCAUGUUGGCCAGGCUGGUCUCGAACUCCUGACCUCAGGUGAUCCAUCCAUCUCAGCCUCCCAAAGUGCUGGGAUUACAGGUGUGAGCCACCGCACCCGGCCUGUUACUGUAGUGUUUUAACAAAUCUAAGUGUAAUAGUAUUAGUCUUCAUUCAUCUAAGACAUACAAGUACUGGAAUUUUUUAGGUGGGUUCCUCAAAUGUCAUCACAGUGGUGUCUUCUCUACAUUCAGUCACUCUUCCGCCCUUCUCUGUAAUGCUCAGGGAUUUCCCAGUUCACUAGCACUUAACAUAGUAUGUCCUUACUUACUUUGGGGUAUAAAUGACUGCAAUAGAAGAAGUGAUAUCCUUGAGGGAUGAAACACGAUCUUGCAUAUUCAUAUCCCUUUCAAAUGUUUACUGACUUAAUCACACCAUUAGUUUUCUAAGUCCAAGUCUAAAAACAGAAAUGAGUUUAAAUACAGUGAACAUUUCAUUUUCACUAUACCACUAAGCUGAAAGAAAUGAUUUUUGGUAAAUAAAAGUUCAUCACAGUGAAAAGUUCUACAUAUAACUGAAGAUCAAAGGAUUCUCACCUGGGAAGCUUGUCAAGAUGCAUGUUCCCAAGCUCCCAGGCUCCCACUCCCAGAGAUUCUAAUACUGUAAUGGAGCUGAGGACACUACAUUUUUAACAGGCUGACCAGGUAGUUCAGAUUCAGGUGGUUCCUAAACCAACUCUGAGGAAGUAGUGGUUUUAUAUACGAUGCUACUGUUGAUGUGGCUACUAGGAAUGGUGCUCAGCAGAAAUCCUGCAACAUAUGGAUCUGUUUACACACUAUUCACUGUGUAAUGAGAGUCUGCAACAUAGGCUAAGUAAUAAGAGAUGUCUUGUGGUUGACCUCUCUGGAGAUAAGCAGCAAUGAAAUUCCAAUGAAGUUUCAUCAUCUCUCAUCACCAAAACCAUCCUAACCACCUCAAUAAAAUACACCUGACUUCCCCCGCUCCCCCGACCCACCACCCCAAAACCAGCUGCCCUAUGUUCUACCAAAAGCUGCAACCAACCAAUGACCUGAUACUAACCCCAAUCUAUCAGCUGCUGCCUAGUGCAACAGAGAGGGAAAGUCAAUGAGAAGGAAUUGGGUGCCAGUUCUUGCUUUGCAAGGAGUGGGUUGACUAAUGAGACAGCCACAAAUGUCACUGCCAUCCCAUCUCACCCUUUCACCUGUGCUGCAAGGCUUCAACAAUCAUACCCAGUCUCCACUUAGGAAAAUUCUGUCCUUUCUCAAAUGCUGGCCACUCAGCAAUGUGCUCCCUUAAUCCAGGCCAAGCACAUAGUAAAAGAACUCCAAAAAGGGUUACAGCCAAAAGUGAUCUUUCUCCUCCAUACUCCCAAAGCAGAUUAUAGCUCCUCCAUAAACGUGCUUCGCAUUGUGCCCCACGUUUGGUUUGUUACUUGUGUAUACAUUAUCGUCUCUUCUAGAUUGAGCUUCUGUAGGAAAGGAGAAUCCUUUUCAAUUUUUUGGUAUUACACCCAGCUCAGGACCUUGCUCAGUUGCUUAAAUUGAAUGAGAAAAUGUAUCUAAGUACCCACUGAUGUUGGAAAUUCAACUUGUUCCAAUAUUGAGGACUGCCUAUACCUGGCAUAUGCGUGUCCCAAUUUGAGAAAUUGUUUUUCAAGUUGACUUGUAUGGAUUCCUUACAGACGCUCAAGCAUCAGUUUGGUUUUCCCUAAAUCCUGCAGAUCAGGAAGGCAGUAUCCAUGUUUG